ACGCCGUAAACGAUGAUUACUAGGUGUGGGGGGUCUGACCCCUUCCGUGCCGCAGUUAACGCAAUAAGUAAUCCACCUGGGGAGUACGGCCGCAAGGCUGAAACUCAAAGGAAUUGACGGGGGCCCGCACAAGCAGUGGAUUAUGUGGUUUAAUUCGAAGCAACGCGAAGAACCUUACCAGGUCUUGACAUCUCCUGCAUAACCUAGAGAUAGGUGAAGUCCUUCGGGACAGGAUGACAGGUGGUGCAUGGUUGUCGUCAGCUCGUGUCGUGAGAUGUUGGGUUAAGUCCCGCAACGAGCGCAACCCUUGCCAUUAGUUGCUACGCGAGAGCACUCUAAUGGGACCGCUACCGACAAGGUGGAGGAAGGUGGGGAUGACGUCAAAUCAUCAUGCCCCUUAUGACCUGGGCUACACACGUAAUACAAUGGCCAUCAACAGAGGGUCGCAAUACCGCGAGGUGGAGCCAAUCCCUAAAAAUGGUCUCAGUUCGGAUCGCAGGCUGCAACCCGCCUGCGUGAAGCUGGAAU
rnacentral:rRNA from 1 species